GCCUGGGUGGCUCAGUCAGUUAAGCAUCCGACUUCGGCUCAGGUCAUGAUCUCACGGUUUGUGGGUUCAAGCCCCACCUUGGGCU
rnacentral:tRNA from 1 species